rnacentral:rRNA from 1 species
AUUUUCCUACGGGAGGCAGCAGUGGGGAAUAUUGCACAAUGGGGGAAACCCUGAUGCAGCAACGCCGCGUGAGUGAAGAAGUAUUUCGGUAUGUAAAGCUCUAUCAGCAGGGAAGAAGAUGACGGUACCUGAUUAAGAAGCCCCGGCUAACUACGUGCCAGCAGCCGCGGUAAUACGUAGGGGGCAAGCGUUAUCCGGAUUUACUGGGUGUAAAGGGAGCGCAGACGGCAGUGCAAGUCUGGAGUGAAAGGUCGGGGCCCAACCCCGGGACUGCCUUGGAAACUGUUGAACUGGAG